AGCCCCGGCGCGUGCCUCCUCAGGAGCCCUCCCGGCGCUCGCCCCCGCCCGGCUGGGGGGGCCGGUCCCGGUGCCGGGCGGCUCCGCCGGGCGUCCCGCCCCUACCGCGGGGCGGCCUCGCCCCGGCCGCGGCACCGCUGCGGUCGCUUUGAAGCGGGGCGCGGCUGGAGCCUGUCCGUCUGUGCCCGGAGGGGCGGCGGCGCUGCGGCGGGCGAAGACUGCCAUCUUGUCCCUUGACCAUCUUGGGAAGAAGAGAGGCGAAUUUUACUUCUGGCCCUACAGGGCCAUGCAGAAUUAAAACCAGAUACUGGAAAGUCAUGGAGAAAGAUCUUGCCCUGAUGAAUAUUCAGGAAGAGCAGUUACUAAGCUAUGCUGGUUCCUGGGAUGCAAACACCUUUGCAUGUGGCCUUAUCCCUGGGAACUGCACGGGUCAGUGAACACUUGUCAGAUGUCUUUUGCUGGUAUCUUGGACAACCUCACAGUGGAAAACCCUGUUGUCAGAUUUCAAGAUUUGGAGAAGGCCAAAAGUUCACCUGUGAGUCCCUAAAUCAUCAUGGUGCCUCCUGCCAUUGCACCUUGAGCUGAGUUGCCAAUGAAGCUAUGUUGCUAUUAAUGAGACCUUCCCAGCUGUGGCUACCUCUUGAACGCCCCCUCACUGGGAAAAUCCCUGCAGAGGGUGAUUUGUGGUAAAGGUGCCGUACACCUGGUGGAUCUGGUAGUUGAAUCUCCACAAAUAAAGACAAAUCAGUUCCUUCUCCCAACAAUGGUCAGUCAGCUUCAGGGACGACAGUAAAGGGCUUGAAAACUGGCAUGUUGAAGGUUGGAGCAGAACAGAGAGAACUCCUGGAGUCUUUAAAUAUUAUGUGAAAAUGAAGUGAUGAAGUGGAGCAGAAGGAAUACUUUGACACUGAACACUUAUUCUCUGAUAAGUACAGCUGCAACCCACAUUGUACUGCAAAAAUUCCCAGAGAUGGAGGGUCAGAAAGCGUCAUGAGGGACAUCAGUGCUUACCUACAAUGAAGCAUGCUUUUUACUAACACAGCGUGUUACUCACAGGAUGGGGACUGUCUGUCAAAUGUGCAUAUGUUCUGGUAUCCCAGCUCAGCAGCUGAUAGCUGUACAGAAGCGAACUUGUGAAUUUUCAGAUUUAGACAGGGCUUUUAUAACAAGGCAGAGGGGGAGGGAGAAUUCAGAAACCAGAUCUGGCUGUGGGUUCUGCUGCUGCAGCUUUCCUGUGUGAUACUGGGGCACUCUCUUGCCCUUAAGUAUACAUCAAUCUUUUCCACUUGGAAAUGGAGAUUAUAAUACUGCUAUACCUCACAGGGGAAGAAUGAGAAUGCUUUGUUAUGUCCUGCAUGGAAAACACAUCAUUACUGUAGAAUAACUGCCUUUUAUUUGAUUAAUGUUAAGAACAGAUCUACAGUAAAACAGGUCAGUGUGCCUUUAUUUGCACUCAAGAAGCAAGUAAUCAUGCUUUGAUCUAACUGCCAGUUAGGUUGCUGAAUUGCUUAGAAGUGGACCUUGAUCCUUGGAGAUGCUGAUUGAGUGAAAUGCAUGCAUUCAGUUCCUAUUACUGAACUUUUUCUAAACUCAGUGUGGUCAGAAAUUCACAGAAGUUUACUUGCUCGUAUGCUGGAAAACAUACUAUUUGUCUGGUAUGUACUAAAACCACACACACACAAGUAAAGAAAGCAAUAUAUGUGUGCCAGGCAAGAAAUUAUAGGAAAGGUGCAGCCAUAGUGAAAACUGAGAACACCUGUACCUUCCUCAGUUGUUCCUGUUCCCAGAUGUAUGGAAUAAGCUUGGAUGCGUUUGGGGUGUUCUCUUUGAGACUGCUGGUGUGAUAGACACAUAAAUAAACAAAUUAGAGAACUCCCAGCACACCCACACAAGGAGUGUUAAUUGCAGUUGAAGAAAAUAUACGUAGUUGUUAAAAUGUAUGUUUUAGAAUAGUUCUUCUUAUGACAUAAAACUGGACUCGUUUAAAUGUGAAUACCUUAUGAAAGUUCAAAACCUGAUUUUUAGAACUCUCAGAAAGAAAAUUUCUCCUGACAGAAUUAAUCUGGAGAGAAUGACCAAGCAAGCAAUGGUCUGAAAAUAAAGAUUAGAGUAGUUAGUGUAUAGAAAUGUGGAAAUGUGUUUGUGCCAUAAAUCUUUUACCAAUUUGUAAUGUUAUUGGAAUAAUUGUUUAAAACUCAGUGCUUUAAAUCUUGACUGUGUACAAGGCACAAGUCAUUUUGCCUUUUUGUAGAAAGGGCACUUGAAAUGUAGAUGUGUAGAAAGAUGAGGAAAAAAUAGUGAGAGAACCUAAUACACAAUGAGUACAAAAUUCAAAACUGCAUUUGAAACAUUCCCAAUACAAUAUAAAAAUUUGCACUUUCAUAAUUGAUGAAUGACCUCUCCUUCCUUGCCCCAGAUUUUAGUAAUUUGCAACAAAAGAACAAAUCACUUCAAAUCAGCGAAGCCAACACAGCAGCUUCCAUAAAACCCUCUGCCAAACUGAUUAGAUUUGCAAUUCAUUCACUAAAGCCUGCCUGGUCAUGGCAGCAUCAUGCAAUGAAUCUUUUCAUUGAAUAAAACUGGAAUUGCAGAAGAAUUAAUUUUUUUUUGUAUGAAUACUUCUGUAGUGCUUGUUUAAACAUGAAACUCUUCCUGAUUAACUCAUGUGUGAGCAGUCUUAUUCUAGAAUUUUUAAAAAAAAUCUUCCUGUAAUCUUCCUGUUAGCUUAAUGUAGUUGUUUAAUAGUUAUUUAAUAAUUGUUUAAUAAUUAAACAGAAGCAGUUAAUUGGAAAGUACUGCAUAUGUAGUCCCAGUCUUUUUCCUUUGGUGGAUGUAAAAGGUUAGUGGUUGGAUAAAGAAGUGGUAUUUUUAAAAAUUCUUGCUUGGGUAACAGAUUUUCUUAUUUUAUUGUUUUCUUAAUUUGUUAAUUUGUUGGACUAAAUGAGAAAGUGAAAGUAUAUGAUAGUUUUUGCAUGUAAAAUAGCAGUACAGGCAGAUUGGCAUGAAGGUAGAAGAAUCUUUUGUUUCUCUACAAUAACUUAUGAAGCUCCAGAAACUAAAGGUUGCAUUGCUCAGCAGGGAGCUUAUGUGAACUACAGUGUGUCCUCAGCCUCCACAUAACUGCUAUUCACAUCCAGGCAAAGCAGGAAGAGAGAACAAACUUAAUUUCAUUCAGACAGUAGCGCAAAUCCUGGGCAGACUGGACCUUUACAGACUUUAUUUAGGACUUUUUUUUUACAGCCUUUGCAUAAUUAACAUUUUCAUCAUUGUUAGUGAGCGUGUUAGCAAGUGAGACUUAAUAUAACAAAAGAUUGGAUUUGUUCACUAUGGAUUGAUUUAAAAGACUAAUUAAAACUAUAUAUUGUCCAGAAAAAAAUAUUUUUAAAUGGUGAUCCAAACAAAGUAUAAGAGAUGACUGUGGUCUCAGUUCUACCUUGUCCAAUUUGUUCUUCAGGAAUAAGGAUGUUAAUCUACAGAGAAAAGUGAAUACAUUUGUUAGAUUUAUUUUUAUUUAAAAAAGAAAAAUACUUCUAUUAGCAAAGAAGAAGUAAAGAAAGUAGAGGAGGCAUCUUUCUGAGGCAGCUAGAUUUAGACCUUAACCAGAGAAGCAGCCUCUGCUGGCUCUGUCUGCAGUGGUCUGAAAGCCAUGUUUAAACAUGUCUUCAACACAGGUCCUGUUGAAUCAGUGGCAGACAUGGUUUGGUUGGCACAUGUGAUUGCAGUGGCCAUAGUACCAAAAUCAUAGCAUUUUUAUAGAUGGUGAUGCCAAAAAACUUAUAUCUAUUUAAAAAUAAUAAAGUCACAUUUCUUUGCAUGAUUCUUGUCACUGGAAAACUCUGUGCAAACUGAGCUUGGCUUUACCUCCUCCAUGGAAGCCAAACAGCCAGCUGGCUGCCCUCACAGCUGGGUGUGAUCCAUGACCUGAUGGGGGGAACAGGUGUAACAAGUGUGGUAAUGACCAAGCAGCUGCUUCCACUAGUUUGCUGCAAGGGGAGUUGGGGGUCUUGGUUGCUCUGUACUGUAAGCUAGAUAAGCUAGACAGUGACUUAGAAACCAAAUUCCUCAAAUGACUGUAAUUGCUGGUCUUGUGCUUUGCAGACUCUGUCCCAGGGCCAGGUCCUGUCUGUCCAGCACCCGGUGCAGCUCUUGGAGUUAAUUGCUAUCAAAGUUGUGUUGACUUGUGCUUUGGGUGAUGGCCAAGACUCUUUAGUCAGAAUCUGUGUAAGCGAGGAGAACAAAAGCAUUUUGUCCUGAACGAUGAUUAUUUUUGGCUCUUGAUGGAAUUAAAAUGUGUCCCAUGAAAGUUCAUCUUGCUUCUCGAGUUCCUGGGGAGAAUCUCCAGGGAGAUCCUAUGAAUAUCUUGCUUGUAAACCUCUCUCUUCCUCCCCAACUCCCUGCCAGCACCUACCCAAGAAAUACCUUGCUUAUAUUUUAAUCUCCUCUGCUAGCCUAUGAGCAAUGGUUGGCUGCUUUGGCCCAAAUUGGCUGGAAGAGGUACACACAGGCAGACAUUGAGGGAGAGUUGGCUAUAAUUGCCCAAAAGUUUGCAUCUGUUAUCGGAUUAUGUCUCUCUGCCCUGGUGAAAAAUGGUACAAGACAAGGAAGGUUUCAUGUACAGGACAAUGUUGUAGGUCGAGCAACAUGCAUAGUACAGACAGGUCUGGGACGCAGUUAGUGUUACAAGUUUCACCCAUGGUGAAGUAAGAGAUUUGGAGAUACAUAUGUUUGGCUGAAAGAGCCACAAAAGGGGGCUGCGAAGAGGCCUAUUUAGGUUUGAUAUUAGGAAAAACUUCUUCACUGAAAGGGUUAUCAAGCAUUGGAACAGGCUGCCCAGGGAGGUGGUGGAGUCUCCAUCCCUGGAGGUAUUUAAAAGAAGGGUAGAUGUGGUGCUUGAGGAUAUGGUUUAGUGGUGGACUUGGGAGUGAUAGAUUAGCAGUUGGACUUGAUGAUCUUAAGGGUCUUUCCAACCUUAAUAAUUCUAUGAUUUUAUGAUUCUAUGAUGUGUAUAAUGAUCAUAGAGUCAUAGAAUGUCCUGAGUUGGAAGGGACUGACAAAGAUCGUUGAGUCCAGCUCCUGUCCCUGCACAAAACAACCCCAAAAUUCACACCAUGUCUCCAAGGGCAUUGUCUAAGUGCUUCUUGAAUAUCAUCAGGCUGGGUGCUGUGACUACCUCCCUGGAGAGUCUGUUCCAGUGCUCCACCACCCUCUGGGUGAAGAACUUUUUCCUAGUAUCCAGCCUAAACCUCCCCUGCACAUCUUCCUGCCAUUCCCUUGGGUCCUGUCAUUGGUCACCAGAGAGCAGAGAUCAGUGCCUGCCCCUCCUCCUCCCCUUGUGAGUAAGGUGCAGACUGUGAUGAGGUCUCCCCUCAGUCUUCUCUUCUCUGGGCUGAACAAACCAAGUGACUUGAGCUGCUCAUCAUAUGGUUUCUCCUCUAAACCCUUCAACUUCAUGGCCUUCCUCUGGAGACUCUCUAGUGGCUACCAGGGCACACUGUUGGCUCAUGUUCAACUUGCCAUCAACCAGAACCCUCAGGUCCCUCUCUGCAGAGCUGGUCUCCAGCCUCCUGUUCUCCCGCCUGUAUGUACAUCCAGGGUUGCCAUGCCCCAGGUGUAAAAUCUGGCACUUGCCCUUGUUAAACUUAAAAUGGUUAGUAAUUGCCCAGCUCUCCAGUCUGUCCAGAUCCCUCUGCCGGACCUCUCUGCCCUCCAGAGUGUCAACAGCUCCUCCCAAUUUUGUGUCAUCAGCAAACUUAAUCAGUAUUCCUUCCAGUCCUGUGUCCAAGUCAUUUACAAAGAGAUUAAAGAGUACCAGCCCCAAGAUGGAUCCCCACAGAACCCCCCUAGUGACUGGCUGCCAGCCUGAUGUAACCCCAUUUACUAUGACGCUUUGAGCCCGACCCAUCAGCAAUUGCUCACCCACUCCAUUAUGUGUUUAUCCAGCUGUACGCUGGACGUUUUGUCCAGCUCUGCCAGAAGGGAAUCCUCUGGCUUUUGGACAGCCAUGAGGGCCAAGUACUCUACAGCCUAUGCAAAAAGGGGCAUACUGUAACAAAGCGGGGAGAGAAAGGCUUGCCCUGCCCUGAGCAUUUACAUCUGAUUAUAGCUCCAGUAUAAAACCAUGUCUAUCUGAAGUCAGAGCUCUGCAUAAAAGGUGCCAACAGUUCUUGGGACAAGGACAGUUUGAGAGUCAGGGAACUAAUGAUCCAUCUUAUUUGAUCUUUUGUCCUAACACAAAAGUGAACCUGUUCCUAAAUUUAACACACAUCUGUGGCUAUUCUGAAACUGCUGCAAAUUAAACAAGAGGAGUUCAACCUGCCAAACUUCAAUUGCUACUGAAAGUUCUAUAUACAGUUGCUAUCAUUGUUGAAAUAAAGACCAAAGAUACUGUACUCGUAAAGGGGUAAAUUAUGCUUACCAUCCAAUUUAUGUUCCUGGCUCUUCUACUUAAGUUUUUCUGUUCAGCCAUUUACUGUAUCUCAGUUUAUCUAUCUGAAAAAAAAUUACUUAAGGGACAAAAUGGUUAAGUCAAAAAGCUUGACUGGAGAGCUCUGAGUUCCUUCAAUAAAAAAUAUUACAUGAUGGCAAGAAAGAAUACCAGUAUGGGUAAGCUAUGUAAUAUUGUAUGUGCUCAAAAUGAGGACUCAGAUGUUUAAACUUAGGCUGCCCUUACCGGGGUAAGUCUUACAUAGUGGUGUAUGUAACUAGUGAAUUAGAAUAUAAGCAUACAUUAAAAAAUGACUGCGGUUUUAUGCCUUAGUUAUCAGUAAUUUUGAAGGAACGUCCUUAAUUCCUUCCCCAGCAAUACAAACAAUGGGUGUUUAGCUGCCAUUUGUCACCAGCAUUUCUCUGAUCUCUGCCUAGCUACACUCAUAAAGUGCCUCCAAGUAUGUUUACAAAGAUGUUUACUCUCCAAACAGUUCAGGCUGGUCAUUCUGAAACUACUUAAGGAAUGUACCCGACAACUUGGGUGGAAGAAUAUCCUCUUGAUGUGUAAGUGGUCACAGUUUUCACCAAAAUUCUGAGUCUGGACUGAAGUAUUUAUUCCAACUUACAUUUUUAUUUAUGUAAUACUUUGUAAGUUAUGUAGAAAUAUUACGUUAAAGCCAUGAUAUUAAAUGUUAAAAACUCAGAGUCUUUAAACCUGGAAUAUCAUGUCAAAUUCUAAUUUGUCUACAGAGGUAAAAUAUUUUUACUUUGCAAGCCAGUAAAGAAUGGCAGAAUGAUGUCUAUAGUUGUUUUAGACAUCAAAGAGAAAAAAGAAAGUCGUAAGAACAUAGCAAUAUCUUCAUCUGGAACUGUAGUUAAUCUGAUUUAAAUAUAGCAACAAGUAAAAAAGCUGCAUCUUAGGAUUUUUUCUGAAAAGAUAGUAAAGAAAGAUUGAGACAUUCUUAAUUCAGUUAGUAAAUAAUACAAGUACGAUGAAUGCAGUUCUGUAUAAUUCAGAAUACCAAGUGUGUAAAUAUAAUUGCUUUAACAUUCUGGUUUCUAGACUGCUCGGAGCAAAACAUUUUGCUUACAUGGUAUUGAGCAGUCUGUCUUCCUUACUGCUGUAAGCACCUCUAUCUCCAGUGCUGCUUGUUCGCUAGUCCUAACAUAAUUUUUAAUAGCGAACCAAGAAAAGCCAUAGAGGAUAUACUUUUGAGAAUAGUCUGAUAGCCUGGCUGCAUAAAAAUUCAGCUUUACUGUAGCUGCUGAGAUGCAUCUGUUCAAUAAAUGCAAUAAAUUUAAAUAAUUUGGAGAACAUGCAGUUCUAAAAAUGGUAUGUGCAUUGUGUUCAGAAGAAACCAUCCACAAGGUUGAUCAGGGCUACUAAUACUUAAAAUUAGUUAUUAUUUCUGAACUGAAACAACUCUAUAGCUUUAGAACUUGCACAGUGAACCGAAUCUUCUUAUAUCACUUUUUCAUCUGGAAUUUUAUCAAUUAUAAAAUCAAGCCCAUUUUUUUUUUUUUUUUGAAAUGAAAUGGGAAGUGGAUGUUUACAUGUUUUAGCUUUUCAAGACCAUUUGAUGUGUUGCAUUAGAGCUGCACAGCUGAGUACCCACAAGUUGUGUAUUUCUUUGCGUAGUUUUUGUUCAUUUAAAUAAUAAAAGUUCAGAAAUGUAAAGCAUUAUGCCUUGCCUUCCUUUUAGGGAAAGCCUACAAUGUCUUGCCAAGCUCCAGCUUUUCCAUCCCACCUCUUCUAUUUUCCAGAAAUUAUUUUUUUCCCCUUU